GACGAACGUUGGCGGCGUGCUUAACACAUGCAAGUCGAACGGAAAGGCCCUGCUUUUGUGGGGUGCUCGAGUGGCGAACGGGUGAGUAACACGUGAGUAACCUGCCCUUGACUUUGGGAUAACUUCAGGAAACUGGGGCUAAUACCGGAUAGGAGCUCCUGCUGCAUGGUGGGGGUUGGAAAGUUUCGGCGGUUGGGGAUGGACUCGCGGCUUAUCAGCUUGUUGGUGGGGUAGUGGCUUACCAAGGCUUUGACGGGUAGCCGGCCUGAGAGGGUGACCGGCCACAUUGGGACUGAGAUACGGCCCAGACUCCUACGGGAGGCAGCAGUGGGGAAUAUUGCACAAUGGGCGGAAGCCUGAUGCAGCAACGCCGCGUGCGGGAUGACGGCCUUCGGGUUGUAAACCGCUUUCGCCUGUGACGAAGCGUGAGUGACGGUAAUGGGUAAAGAAGCACCGGCUAACUACGUGCCAGCAGCCGCGGUGAUACGUAGGGUGCGAGCGUUGCCCGGAUUUAUUGGGCGUAAAGGGCUCGUAGGUGGUUGAUCGCGUCGGAAGUGUAAUCUUGGGGCUUAACCCUGAGCGUGCUUUCGAUACGGGUUGACUUGAGGAAGGUAGGGGAGAAUGGAAUUCCUGGUGGAGCGGUGGAAUGCGCAGAUAUCAGGAGGAACACCAGUGGCGAAGGCGGUUCUCUGGGCCUUUCCUGACGCUGAGGAGCGAAAGCGUGGGGAGCGAACAGGCUUAGAUACCCUGGUAGUCCACGCUGUAAACGGUGGGUACUAGGUGUGGGGUCCAUUCCACGGGUUCCGUGCCGUAGCUAACGCUUUAAGUACCCCGCCUGGGGAGUACGGCCGCAAGGCUAAAACUCAAAGGAAUUGACGGGGCCCCGCACAAGCGGCGGAGCAUGCGGAUUAAUUCGAUGCAACGCGUAGAACCUUACCUGGGUUUGACAUGGAUCGGGAGUGCUCAGAGAUGGGUGUGCCUCUUUUGGGGUCGGUUCACAGGUGGUGCAUGCCUGUCGUCAGCUCGUGUCGUGAGAUGUUGGGUUAAGUCCCGCAACGAGCGCAACCCUUGUUCACUGUUGCCAGCACGUUAUGGUGGGGACUCAGUGGAGACCGCCGGGGUCAACUCGGAGGAAGGUGGGGAUGACGUCAAGUCAUCAUGCCCCUUAUGUCCAGGGCUUCACGCAUGCUACAAUGGCUGGUACAGAGAGUGGCGAGCCUGUGAGGGUGAGCGAAUCUCGGAAAGCCGGUCUCAGUCCGGAUUGGGGUCUGCAACUCGACCUCAUGAAGUCGGAGUCGCUAGUAAUCGCAGAUCAGCAACGCUGCGGUGAAUACGUUCCCGGG
rnacentral:rRNA from 1 species